UUCAGCGCGUGCCCUGGGCACAUAUCUCAGCUAUUUGAAUUGUUUGUUCAGGACAGUCAGUUCCCGGGAUUAUCAAAACCCUUCGUAAAAUGCGUCUAGCACGAACUUUAGCAAUUGAGAAAAAAGAGGUAGAUACGACGUCCUCCUGACUUUACGGCGGCGUAAAGGUCGACGACGACGUGGUGCCGCCAUUAUCGGUGACAUCAAUGUCAUUUCCGGUAUGAAUUCUAGAACUCGCAGACGGGAAGCUAUAGGUUUACCGGAUCUAGAGCUACUGCGAGGAUUGGGCAGUUUCCUCGGGUCACGUGAUCUAAAGCCGGAUGAGACUAAGAUGGUAGAAUGACGUAGCAGUAACUAUGACUCGACACAAACUGAACAAACUUUCAGUCUUGGGACUCGAUUGCUAGAUCAAUCUCAAAUGUAUUUUAAGUGAUUUAAAUAGUGAACGAUAUGAAAGGUAAUUAUUUACCUGUGUUUAUGCUGAAUGUCAUUCAUAAACAGGUGUGUUUACUAGGGUUACUGUGGAAUGUCAUAAAACGUGAUGCAUGUACGUUAUAAAAACAAUUCAGGAAAAGAGAUAUAUUUUCAAUGUAAAAAAAUUAAUAUUUAAAAAUGACAUUGUGUUAAUGCCGAAUGUCAUGAAAAACAACAACAUUAAUAGUCACAUAUAUUUGUGUUAAUACCAAAUGUUAUAAAAGUUAUGAGUGGAAAUGUGAUAUGUAACGCGAUGGUUUUUCAUAGGAAUAAAAAUGUCAUAAAAAUUAUAAUUACGUUUAAUGUUAAAUUUCAUGAAACGAAGUUGGCGUGUUUGAAUGAUUAAUGUCAUAAAUUAUAUUUAUGUCUGUCGUGCUGAAUGUCAGGAAAAACGACAUUUACGUUUGUUCAGUGUCGUGAAAAAACCCCAAACAUAUUUUGAGUGCGAAUGCUGAAUAUCAUGAAAAGUGACAUGUUAAUCUUCAGUAUCAUGAACAUAUUUUAAUGUGAAUGCUGAAUGUCACGAAAGUAAUACUUCUAUGUCAGACAUUGUAUUCUGUAUUCUGUAUUCCCUUCGCUUUCUGUUAAAGCGGAUAUUUGUGCCAUUUACUUUGCGAACUGUUAUGCUAGGUUCGGGCUAUCAACUGUCACGACGGAGUUGGCCAACUCGAAAGUUGCGUGGUAUUUCCCUCCACUCCCAGCUUACGACGGGUGUGCUCAGAUUGACAACUAAUCGGUCGUAGGAGUUGUAUACGACGAGAAUCGAGUUGUUAGAGUGUUCAGACUAGCAACUGGACAGUCGUAGAAGUCAUCAGAUCGGCGAGUUGGCCAACUUCGCCGUUGUAUUUGGUAGUUUGAGUUUAGCAUUAUGCUAAACUUAGAUUACCAUCUGCCACAAGAAAGUUGGCCAACUUUCUGCUCUUACGAUUUCUACGACUGUCCAGCGCUCUUACAACUCGAUUCUCGUCGUAUAACCCAUUGUUGUUAGUCUGAGCGCUCUUACAACUCGAUUCUCGUCGUAUAACCCAUUGUUGUUAGUCUGAGCGCUCUUACAACUCUGUUCCCAUCGUAUAAUCCAUUGUUGUUAGUCUGAGCGCUCUUACAACUCGAUUCCCGUCGUAUAACCCAUUGUUGUUAGUCUGAGCGCUCUUACAACUCGAUUCUCGUCGUAUAACCCAUUGUUGUUAGUCUGAGCGCUCUUACAACU
rnacentral:misc_RNA from 1 species